rnacentral:lncRNA from 1 species
UUCAUUCUACUCGAUUUCAGCUUAUAGUUUGAGGACGAGGAUAGUUAACCAUUAAUUGUAAUUUUUUUGGAUGAUGAAGAAAGUACAAAGCGAGGAGAUGCAAAGCAAUGUGAUUAGUGAAGGAUCAGGUAAUUUAGUGCCCACUAUUCCUCGGGAAAACAUGUUUAAGGGCUAUUGCCCAACCUGUUUAAAAUUUUAUUUAUUUCGGGAAAGUUCUCUUUAUGAUAAGAUGUCUAUACAAUAGGAGUCAAAAAUCUUAUUAAAUUCGUCAACCUUUUUAACAUUAUUGAUUAAGGUGGUAAUUUCGUACAACAACCUUUCUUACAUGAAAGUAAAAGAUGACCAUCUAUUAUAGUUUGACUGGAAAUUUGUGAUUAUAUUUGAUGUAUAGGAAAAAGAAUUGUGUGUUGGUAGCCCAUACUUUAAUUUACAAGGUAUUUAAACUUCACAAAUUAUUAUGCACCACUUUGCCACAUGAAUUCAAAACUUCAAUUAUGACUUUCUUCCCAGUUGAUUGCAUAUGGACAAUGUUCAGCAAUAAGUUAUGUCAGUCAUACAUUUGCGUGCUUUCAUGUAUGAUACUAUAGAUACUAAUCCCAAUCUUUAAUGGGAAAACAAAGUGAACAAACAAGCAGUAUACUUCACACCUCAUUUGAUUCAAAUGUUUAUCAAAGAGCUGACUGUAUUCUUUUUCUAUUAAUUGAUUGCAGAUCUUAAUAUUUUUAGCCUUUUCGUAAUUGCAUAAAACUAGAUAGUGACAUAAGAAACAAGGACACACAUUUCUUUUUUAGGCGAGUUUCUGUUGUUAUACACGAUCUUCCUUACUUUAAUAUUUGAAUUAUAGUUGGAUAUGCAAAGAUCGACUUAUCACUCACUCUUUGGUUAGUUUUGUUCAUUUUCUUACUAGAAAGCAUCUCCUGUGCCCUUCCUUUGGCAUUGGUGUAUGGUCUAAACUAUCUGUCCUUAACCUAAUUCAUCGACUGUUUUCACUAGCAAUAUAAGAUUUUACACAGUACAUCUUGCAGUUGUCUUCAAUGUUCUGUUGUUUUUCUCCUUGAACUUAUGCCGUUCAUGUUCGCUGACUUCUUUGAAUGAAAAUCCUGAAUUGCUCAUGAAAACAGGAAAUCAAAGGUCAAUCAUUUGAAGAGCAGGGACAGUAAGGAGAAGAAUAGUUCUUAGCAUUUUGCACCCUAAGGGUGGUUUGCUUAAGGUUUCUGUUGUGUGACAUAAGAAACAAGGAUGCACAUUUCUUUUUCAGGCAAGUAUCUGUUGUUCUAUACGAUCUUCCUAAUUACUUCAAUAUUUGAAUUUUCUAAAUAUCUUUUAGCCUUCCGACCUUUCUGCAUUUUGGAUGGUAAACUAAAAGCUACUCCCUCCGUUUCAAUUUAUGUGAACCUAAACAAGUCAAAAAGAAGUACAGGGUAUUUGUGUGGUUAUAAAAGGUUCUCAUUAAGGGUAGAAUUGGAAGUUUAAGUUAAAUUAUUUUCAAAUUUGGAAAGGGAUCAUUCUUUUUGGAACGGACCAAAAAGGAAAUAGGUUCACAUAAAUUGGAACGGAGGGAGUACAUCUUUAUGUACACUUUACAGUAUUUAUACUAUUUUCAUUAAUUUAGAAAGGAUGAAAGAGAAAGAAUUGAAAAAAUAGAAAAUAUGUUUCUGUUUAUCUUGCUAAAAAAGAAUUCCUGAAUCCAUUGAGACCUUAAAGAUAAUCACUUUCAUAAAGAGAGCUUGCAACUAUCUUACAUAUGUAUAAUUUUGUUGCCACCCUCGAUCUUCUCUAGAGAAGAAAAAAGAAGGGGAACUGCAUGUUGAAAAAUAAUACUCUGCUAAGCCAAAGUAAUAGUGAAAAUUCAUUUUAGAAAAUUGUUCAUUGCAUUGCAAAUUUCAUGUUUUCUCAUAGUCGCAAACGCCUUUUUUUUUGUCCUCCAUGUCUUUGUUACAUUCAGGGAUUUGAACCGAUGUGAAGAAUAUGAAUUCCUAAAGAUAAGGGGGAUGGAUACAUGGUGCCUUUCUAGUUUGAGAAUUUCACUGAAAGAUCUGAACUUCUCAGAUUAAAAAAAAAUUACAGUGUACCAAUCCUUGACUCUUUUCAUAUAUUUAAGCUUUAAUAGACAUAGCUAACUUAUAUAUGCAAUAACGAAAGGAUAGGUUGUCAUAGUUGCGCUGCUAAACACUUCUCUAUGGAGUUGCUGCCUAAGUGCUAAUUCAUGUGUUCCAAACGAAAAGAAGGAUAUGCCUUUUCAGAAAGAAAGUGCAACGACCCGGCCGGUCGUUUUAAGAAUUAGAGCCCCGAUCCCCUAAUAUCUGCUUUUCUCAUAUUUGUUUCUACUUUUGAGACUUGCUAGAGUGAUUGGUUAUGGAAUUCAGAGAGUUUUGGGACACUUAGUCCCUAGUAGUGAGUUUAAGCCUUGGAGUUUGGACAGUAGUUGGAACUGUAUGAAGACGGAUCCGGAAUGGAAUCUCCUCGACUCUGUUAGCUCCGUUGAGUAAUUUUGGGGUUAGGAGCGCAUCCAGAAUGUGUUUUGGAGGUCUGUAGUAGAUUUAGACUUGAAUUGGCGAAAGUUAGUUUUUUGGCGAUUUCGGCCGAUAAUGGAAAUUUUGAUAUCGAGCUCGGAAUGGAAUUCCAAAAGUGGCUGUACGUUCGUAAUGUCAUUUGUGAUCUGUGUGUAAAAUUUGAGGUCAUUCGGACUAGAUUUGAUGUGGUUCGGCAUCGUUUGUAGAAUUUGAAAAAUUUUAAAUUCUUAGGCUUGAAUCUGUGCUUAAUUCAGAAUUUUGGUGUUGUUCGAUAUGGUUUGAAGAUUCGACUAAGUUCGUAUGAUGUUUUAGGAUUGGUUGGUAUGUUUGGUUGAGGUACCGGGGGCCUCGGGUGUGUUUCAGAUGCUUAACGGGAAGAAAUUUGGACUUAGAAAAAUCUGGCGCAUUGCUGGUUCUGGUGUUUCGCACCUGCGGAGGGGAGUCCGCAGGUGCGGACUCGCAGGUACGCUUGGGCGUUCGCAGAUGCGGAAAUGGACAUGGCAUGCUGGGCUCGCAGGUGCGGCUGGUCGUCCGCAGAAGCGGAGUCGCAUAUGCGGCCCAGGGGUCGCAGAUGCAGACCCAGCCAAAUAAGUGACUUCCGCACCUGCGUUGAUUUUUUCGUAGAUGCGGGACCGCAGAUGCGUAAAUGCGGAAAUCGCUGGGCAGAAAAGGGAAUUUCGAGGGUAUGAAAUUUCAUAACACAAAAAUUGAUUUGGAGCUCGGUGGGAGACGAUUUCUCGAGGGUUUUUGAGGAGAACUAUUGGAUAACGAAUUCUAACUCUAUUUUGAUCAUAAUACAAUAAUCUAUUAUUAUUUUCCUAGUCUAAUUAAGGAAUUUGAGGGUAAAAGUUUUGAAAUGGGGGAAAAGGUUCCCCAAUUGAAAAUCUGAGAUUUGAAUGGGAAUUUGACGUCGGAUUUAGAUAAUUUUUUGUUCGAGUGAACUCGUGAGUGAAUGGGUGUUCAUAAUUUAUAAUUUUUACCUGAUUUCGAGAUGUGGGUCCGGGGGGAUAUUUUGGGCGUUUUUCCUAAUUUCACGCUUUAGCUUCGAAUUAAUUAGUUAAAUUAGUUACUUGUAGUUAUAUUUACAUUAUGCAAUUAAUUUGAAUAGAUUCGGGCCAUUUGGAGUCGGAUACUCGUGGCAAGAACGUGAUAUCGAGUUGAUUUGAGUGAUUCGAG